UACGGAGGGUGCAAGCGUUAUCCGGAUUCACUGGGUUUAAAGGGUGCGUAGGAGGGCAGGUAAGUCAGUGGUGAAAUCUUCAGGCUUAACCUGGAAACUGCCAUUGAUACUAUUUAUCUUGAAUACUUUGGAGGUAAGCGGAAUAUGUCAUGUAGCGGUGAAAUGCUUAGAUAUGACAUAGAACACCAAUUGCGAAGGCAGCUUACUACACAGUAAUUGACACUGAGGCACGAAAGCGUGGGGAUCAAACAGG
rnacentral:rRNA from 1 species